rnacentral:lncRNA from 1 species
CUAUCACGUUGGCGUCGUCGUCGUCCGAAUACUUUUAGUUUUCGCACUCUAACUUUAGUAAAAGUGAAUGGAAAUCUAUGAAAUUUUAACACAAGGUUUAUGACCACAAAAGGAAGGUUGGUAUUGAUUUUGGGAGUUUUGGUCCCAACAUUUUAGGAAUUAGGGGCCAAAAAGGGCCCAAAUAAGCAUUUUCUUGGUUUUCGCACUAUAACUUUAGUUUAAGUUAAUAGAAAUCUAUGAAAUUUUGACACAAGGUUUAUGACCACAAAAGAACGGUUGGGAUUGAUUUUGGGAGUUUUGGUUUCAACAGUUUAGGAAUUAGGGGCCAAAAAAGGGCCCAAAUAAGCAUUAUUCUUGGUUUUCGCACAAUAACUUUAGUUUAAGUAAAUAGAAAUCAAUGAAAUUUAAAUACAAUGUUAAUGACUACAAAAGGAAGGUUGGUAUUGAUUUUGGGAGUUUAGGUCGCAACAGUUUAGGAAUUAGGGGCCAAAAAGGGACCCAAAUAAGCAUUUUUCUUGGUUUUCUCACCAUAACGUUAGUAUAAGUAAAUAGAAAUCUAUGAUAUUUAAACACAAGGUUUAUGACCAUAAAAGGAAGGUUGGUAUUGAUUUUGGGAGUUUUGGUCCCAACAGAAUAAGGGGCCCAAAGGGUCCAAAAUUAAACUUUGUUUGAUUUCAUCAAAAUUGAAUAAUUGGGGUUCUUUGAUAUGCCGAAUCUAACUGUGUAUGUAGAUUCUUAACUUUUGGUCCCGUUUUCAAAUUGGUCUACAUUAAGGUCCAAAGGGUCCAAAAUUAAACUUAGUUUGAUUUUGACAAAAAAUGAAUCAGUUAGGUUCUUUGAUAUGCUGAAUCUAAAAAUGUACUUAGAUUCUUGAUUUUUUGGCC